AGGAUAGGCGAAACCCCGAACCACCAACGGGAAAUUGGCAAUCCGGGGGAGGCUGUCAAUGGGCCGCCAUGGUUCGACAAUACAUGAACAGCAGGGGUCGGAGAAACAGGGGCUGCCAGGGUACAAAGCGAUGCGUCAGUGGCCAGCCAUGGGAAAGAGCUGUCAACAAGGUGGCUCAGCUGGCAGUGCCCAGCGUUCCCACAGGGAUGACAGCUGUCUGAAGUGGAGAGUCAAGGAUGCUGAGGGAUGAUAAAGGACAGCAGGAGGAACAGAGGACUUCUCACUUUAGUCCGGAUCAGUGGACCCCAGUCAUCAGUGAGACACCAAGUGAUGUUCAGUGUGUUCAGACAUAAAACCCCUCAUUAGACCCAUUACUUUUCUUUUGCAUUUGUUAUUGUUGUUGUUUUUAAGUGUAUUGUGUAAGUACCUGUGGCCUCCUUGUUCUUGUUUCCAUGUCAUGCUCAUUUCUUUUUGUGACUCCACUAUGUUCUUUCUCGUGAUGAGUUUGUUUUCAAUUAGUUGUCACUUGCUGGAUGUUCAUAAGCCUUUUUGAUCUGUGUUUAGAAUAUGUGAGUCAGUAAUUAAUUAAUAGAAACAAAACAAACAAACAAAAGCUUGGUAGUUUUUAGCAUGCAAGGAUGUAUUCUGCCUCUUGCUUGGUAGCAGUUGGGAUGGCUUGGUUUCAGUCUCUUGACUGGCAGGUUCACACCCAACAAAGGUUGAGCUAUGUGAUAGCAUGAACCCUUAUAUAUAAUCCAUAAAAGAUUUAAGCUUUGAAUUGGAGAAAUAGCUGUCAGUUCAGUUCCCUGAUAUCUGGAACUAUCUGGUGCUUCAGACGAGCUUCUGCACAGCCAAGCAGAUGAAAACAUA